rnacentral:rRNA from 1 species
CAUAAUCAUUAGUUUUUUAAUUGAGAACUUGUAUGAAUGGUUGAACAAAAAAAAUACUGUCUCUAUAUUAUAAGUUGAAUUUAACUUUUAAGUGAAAAGGCUUAAAUUUUUUAGAGGGACGAUAAGACCCUAUAAAGCUUUAUAAAUAAAUUAGCGGUUUUGUAAACUUUAAUAUAAAAAAGACUUAUGAUUGUUUAUUAUGUUGGGGCGACACAGAUAAAAAAAUUUAUGUAACUAACAGAUAAAAAAACAAUUAUAUUUGUAAAUAAUGGUCCUUAAUAAAGAUUAAAAGAAAAAGUUACUUUAGGGAUAACAGCGUUAUUCUUUUUGAGAGUCCUUAUCGAAAAAAGAGUUUGUGACCUCGAUGUUGAAUCAUAAAAUCUUUCCAGUGCAGCAGUUGGAAAAG